CUUCAAUUAAACAGGCGGGGCAGCACAGUGCUCUGUUUGCAGUUCUGUGUGCCCAUCAGUGCCAGGCCAGACCGUGAAUGAUCAUUACCCUUCAUUACAGCUCAGACAAAGCACCGAACCUCCCUCCCACUGCAUGGCAAAACAGCAGGACAUCCAGCUCCCAGCCAGGACCCACCAUGGACGACGAUUUCGAACGGCGUAGGGAGCUCCGCAGGCAGAAGCGCGAGGAGAUGCGUAUGGAGGCGGAGAGGCUGAUGUACCAGCGGAACGAGGACGACGAGGAGGAGGCAGCCCGCGAGCGGAGGCGCAGGGCUCGUCAGGAGAGGAUGAGGAGCAAGGAUUUGGAGGAGCCAGUCACUGCGGCAACGGAGGGCGAGGCUUUGGAUAGCAACAGCAGCAUGGCGGAGAGGGACGCGGCCGGCAGGAAGGGGGACGCGGCCACCCACAAUGACGAGGAGGGGGACCAUGGGCUCCAGGAGAGACUGGCCAAGCGUGAGGACCGCCGGCAGCGCAGGGCGCUGGAGGCCGCAGAGAGGCAGUGGCGGGAGCUGGAGGCCCCGGCGGAGCCCAAACGCAGCCAGCCCGGCGAGAAGGAAGAGGAGGAGCCUGAGGAGGAGGAAGAGGAGGUGCCGAGGAGGUCCUUCCUGGGCGAGCAGGUUGAUCAUGAAACGGUAUCGGAGCGACCGGCCGGGUCCCAUACAGAGUUAAGCGAAAAGCCUGUGAAUUCUGAUGACGAUGCCGAAAGAGGCAGAUCCAGGGCAGAGGUGGAAGAGGAAGAAGGAGGUGUUUCGGGGAACGAAGCUGAAGGGGGCACUGUAGUCCCCCUGGGGAAGGAGGAUGGGGAGGAGAUGAGACUGGUGGAGGUCGAAGGGACCUCAGAGGAGGAGCUAGGAGAGCAGGAGGUGCCAGGGGAAGGUGCUGAAGGAGAAGGAGGCCUGUCUGAGCUGGAGCUGGUCUGCGAGGAGAAGAUGAGGAGGUCCUUUUCUCAGGAUGAGGAGACCCCAGAGGAGAAGCCCAAAUGGCCCCUUAGAAAAGAGGAGCAGAAGCCGCCUGGGGAUCCGGAGCCUGUCUCGCCCCAGAUGGAAAACUCUCCACAGUCUAAGCAGCCGAACGGAGGUCUGAAUGAUGACUUCACGGCCAGACACCGGAAACCGGAAAGGACUCUGAGCCGGGGGAGCACGCACUCAGCUGAGGAGGAGCAAGAAGAUGCGGCCCGGCAGGAGGCGGAGCGCAAGCUGGAAGAGCUAAAGCGGAGGCGUGGGGAGACGGAGAGCGAGGAGUACCAGAGGAUGCGGCAGAGGCAGCAGGAGGCUGAGGCAGAGCUGGAGGACCUCAAGAGGAGGCGGGAGGAGCGGAGGAAGGUGCUGGAGGAGGAGGAGCGUGCCAAGAGGGAGGAGCAGGAGGAGAAGAAGGCCAAGGAGGAGGAGGAGAAGAGGAGGAUGAAGCAGGAGAUCGAGAGGAGGCGAGCUGAGGCGGCGGAGAAGAGGCACCGGGUGGAGGACACCGGCGACGGCGAGAGCAGGAGGCCCUUCCAGUGCCUGGGGCCCAAGACUGGAUCCAUGAAGAUCGGGGAGCGGGCGGAGUUCUUAAACAAGUCAGCCCAGAGAAGUUCCGUGAAGUCAUCGCACUCCCCCGUCGUGUCCAAGAUCGACAACCGACUGGAGCAGUACACCACUGCUGUGCAGACCAACAAAGAAAUCAAGGCCCCCAAGUCGGCGGCCAUCGACCUGCCUGUGGUGACAGACGGAGUCCGUAGCAUCAAGAGCAUGUGGGAGCGAGGGAAUGUGUUCAGCUCUGCCGGAACCCCAGGCUCUACUAACAAGGAAACAGCCAGCAUGAAGAUAGGUGUCGCCGGAAGGAUCAACGACUGGCUGAACAAGGUCCCAGAGAGCGGCAAAAGUGGGGGAGGGAAGCCCGCCGACCUGAGGCCUGGUGAUGUCACCAACAAGCGUAACCUCUGGGAGAACAAGGGCUCCGCCCCUGACAAGUAAUACCCCACUGAGUGAAACAGGUCGGAUUUUGACUCUGAAUGUAUGUUGUGGUCACUAAGGUUCACUCAAAGCUGGUUGCUGCUGAAAUCCUCUGACUGUAACAUCCCAGGACAGAAAAUGGUGCUUCAAAUCCCUGCAUGACCUUUAACUUCUUACUCACUCGGCCAACGAGCACCAGACAGGGGAGAUAAUGGCACUUUUGCGAGUGGCCGGUUGAAGGCCGUCACGGCUGCCUCUGUUUUUGGCAGAUAUGGCGAAACCGGCCGCAUUCUCCCUCGUGGGCGUUGAGGUGUGUUGAGGAGGCAGCUUUCUGUCUUCUCUGAAACGCGUGUUGUGGUUUGCGCUCCACUGGCCUGCCAGCUAUUUGGGUCCUGAUGUUGCCUGCAUGACAGAUUGCUUUUGAGCUUGGCGAUGGUAUCUCUCACAGCACUGACACACAUUACGCUGUUGGUUUGCACAUGGGGGGGGGGGUGAAAUUGAUCCAAAUUUAGCAUAAGAUGCCAGUCAGAAUGCAAGCAAAGGUCGGACUCGCAGGGGAAGACGGACGUGAGUUACAGGUGACCGUUGGAGGAAAGAGUAAAUCGGCCACCAAUGCAGGACACUAACAGCACCACCUGGUGGCAGGAGGAGAAGGCUGCACCCAGCAAGGAGAUUCUCCCUGUCGUCACAAUAUGUGUAAAAUACCAAGCAGGGGAAGGAGGAUUUUCUGUAAUCCUGGCAGGGAGGGGGGGCGGGGGGAAGGUUCAAAAGGGAUUAUAAAUGCAUAUUAGCACUGUAUGUAAAAGCCCAGCACCUUAAACACGUCACCGUAACGAGCCUUUGCACAAAACCUUUACUGCUCUCUGGAAUCGACGCUGUGAAACUCUGGUCAUUUUCACGUCUGAUUUCAUGUCAAGCCACAGAGGAAAUCAAAAGCCAGGCUGAGUGGCGGCACAGGUUAGACACCGUAUUUGACUGUGGUUUGACGCUCUCCUAUCCACGGUGUGGUGUUCUCCAUCAAACCUUGCACCAGCCGGCAGUGGUACUGAUGGUAGAGACUCACGAAAUACUUCAGGUCAAAUAUAUAAUAUACGAAAAAAUAUCAGAUAAAAUAUAUGUUAGUGCAUAUAUUUAGUCCUGAUCUUUUGAUUAUAUGUCACGGCUUUAUUUCAUAUUUGUUCACUUUUUGUAUCCAAACCUAAUAGCCGCCCUUAGACGCAUUUACAGAAAUAUCAUUAUCGAGGCCACUGUCCUCUGAAGCUUUAUUUUUUCACGUUUUACGAAUGCGCAGUGGUUCUGCCCUCCUGCCAACAGAGGCAUGGAGUGACGCCGGUUUUCUCUGUUACUUGUGCUGUUCACUAAUCUCUCUCUGCUCCUGGGUGCACAGCAAAGGCCGUGCCUGAGACCGCAAAUACUUCCCAGGUGAAUGUGGGCCUCAUCUGUUAACGCCAGCCAGGGCGGAGUAUGCUGUGGUUACAUCUUAACAUAAAAAUGACUGCGAAUCAAAGAUGGCCGCCCCAUCAUUCCGACACCCAAGAACAUCUGUGUCAGGCGGGCGGCCUGAUCCGGUCCGGUCCGAGCCGAUUGCAGCUCAGAGCGGGUGCCUGCGAGCGAGAGCCUCCAAAGCUGAACAGAAGUUGUAUUUCACAGUAAAAAUGUUCAAUCUUGUGGUAUUAUCCCAUUUCGCUAGUGCCAGUUGUCUUACAGAGCGAUACUGAAAGCCAGCGCGUGGCAAAGGCUGUCACUGUUUACACUGAGAAAUCGGAGGAUUUGGACGAUGGUGUCGAAAGGAACGGGAAGUGCGGGAUGGGAAUGGAUCAGGUACAGGAAGUAGGGCGGGAAUUGCGUGUAUGGGACAAACGGAACAGCUACGGGAAGUGCAGGAAUGGAUGAGGGGAGAGAUGGGUCAGAUGGAGGAAAUAUGAAGUUAAUGCAGCAGGAGAAGAGCUUUGGAAUAUGCUGGUAUUUUUAAUCAAAUUAUUUAAACACUGAGAUUUGUAUUCAGGAAAAUCUACCUUUUAUAUUGAAAACAAGUAUUACAGUGGAAAUAUGUUCUAAAUUAUUUUAAUAGGAAGUGCUAUAGAGUAGACGUAGUUUUAAAUGUUUGAGUGUAGAGUACAGUCCUGUACAAUGCAUCUGUGUCACAGUAUGGUCAUACCUGAGCUGGGGUGCCAGUGUCCCUAAAGCACGUCCAGUUCAGAAAUAUCCAGUGUGCAGUUUAUAGUGACAACACUGCUGCGGAUCGCUCCACUUCUUCAUGGUAAGAGGUGGGUGACGUUGCAUUUAUUAAGCACAUCCUGAACACUCAUAGUAGAAGUGACCACUUUCUAUUACAGGUUGUCCUUUUUUCUCCCCCCACAUUAUGAGCAAAGCAAUGCAACUUGUGUCCUUGCGAUAUCUGCAGCUUGUGUUACUGUGUAAAAACUAUGGGUAUGUCUACAUGUAGAGGAUAGCUUAACGUCUUGGAGACAAAUUACGUCGACAAUAAAGAGGCAACUGUCCAAAA